UGCGGGUAGGAGUUAGUUCGCGAUGCCCGAUCUGAUUUGACAGAUAAAAAGGAUGGACCAGUACCCAUUUUCAUUCAUUAAACAGCUCCUUUCAUUCUCCACGAAUCUAAUCUUUCUCUUUCUCGAAGGUCACCGCCGUCGAAUCUCCGCAAGAUGUCUGAUGUGCAACAGGAUCAUGUAUGCUGUGUGACAUCAACGUAGCAAACUUUCUGUGCUGUCUCCUAAUCUAUAAAUAUUACUGUCGUACAAAGAAUUGUCAGCGCCGGCAAGGAGGAUGCAUACUACAUUGUUAGUUGUUACUGGUUGUUUCUUGAAAGUCAUACCCGAUUUGGAAUUGGAGUUUUUUUUUUCAGGCAUAAAUUAGUUUUACACAAUUUGAUAUUACACGCAAGGGUAUAACUGUUAAUAUUCAUGAAAUCAUCUCUAGGCUCUAACUGCGAUAUGAAGUGUGUAAUUUAAUCUGCUUAAUUGUCUUGGCCUCUUGGGUGGAAGAGAUCGGUGCUUGGCAGAACUUGAUGCUAGCUCAUCUGAUCCCUGGACAUGAUUCUUAGUACACAAGAUUAGACUGGAUGAGCAUCACCUAUCUCUUCGUUAACUUUUUUGUUUUUUUCCUUUUAUCUGUUCUUUCUGCAAGCACAUAUCCACUUCAAAGAUCAUCUUGUCUGAAAUGACAAUAGCUCUAAAUUUACAACAUGUUAUCCGUGACAGAAUGAACUACAAUUUUGUUUUCUGCCUCCUUAAAACUUAUAGAACAUAUUCAUCUGUAAUGGGUGGUCGGCACGCAAGGUGGUGCACGGAGGGUGGGCUGUGGGUGGCGGUGCGGGACGUGGAGGCAGGAGCGGCGAACUCCGGGAGGGAGCCAGAGUUGUUAAUAAAUAAGAAGAAGAUGUGAGAGAGUAUAAUAGGUGGGUCCCACUAUUUUUUUUAAAGACAAUGCUAACUGGAUUGUCACGCGUACGUCACGUAGAACAAAAUCACGUUAGAUUG